rnacentral:lncRNA from 1 species
CGGUCGCCGCCGGGACCUGCAAAAGAAGUCUAAACCGGAGGUGGGGUUGCUCCGGCAAGACCCUCCGAUGCUCAAGUCAGUUCUCUGCCUCAACAAGAAUGGAGUGCUCAAACAAAAAUUUUAGCAGAGUUUCUAGGUAAAAAUGAGAGCUUAUAGAAUAACGUAUCUGGGGUCCCCUUUUAUAGGUGGAGGGGGCUGCAAGCUGAUAGCGACAUCUGUAACCAUCUGGUAUUGGGCUGCCCAGGGUCAGGCGGAGUUUGUUGCGAAGAGUAGUGGCGUAGACCCGUGGCUAUCACCAAAGUGCGCCACGUGGAGUUUGCCACAGGGAGUGGAGCGGCAUCCGUUGUCGCGACUUGCCAGUGGAUAGAAGAAUCAUACGGUAUCCAUCGCAGGAUGUGGAGCAGUGCUGUGGCCGUUACUACGGCCUGUCAGGGAGUAAUGGAGUCGCGUAGGAUCCGCCGUAGGGAGUAAUGGAGUCAUGUAGGAUUCGCCGAAGGGAGUGGAGCAGAAUCAUGGCCGUUACUAUGGCCUGCCAGGGAGUCUAGACUUGUCGGCUGAAGUUCGGUUGGAGUCUGUAGCUGGAGAGAGGUGGCUAACUAUCCGUCUAAGAAGAGCCUGGAGUCUGACUCUCGUAGGAGCCCGGACGGAGUCUUCUUUCAGUUGAAGUCGGGGAUGAAGUCUGGCUCCCACAAGAGCUCGGAUGGAGUCUUCCCGCAGCUGGGGAUGGAGACGAGGUCUGGCUCCCGUAGGAGUUCGGGCGAAGUCUACCUGCAAUUGGAAUUGGUAGUGAAGUCCGGCUCCCGUAGGAGUCCGGAUGAAGUUUACCUACAAGUAGAGCCAUGGGCGGAGUCCGGCUCCCGUAGGAGCCCGGGCGGAGCUUGCGGGCGAAGUCAUGGGUGAGGUCUGGCUCCCGUAGGAGUCUGGAUGAAGCUUACCUGCAAUUAGAGUCAGGGAUGAAGUCCGGCUCCCGUAGGAGUCCGAACGAGUUACCUGCNNNNNNNNNNNNNNNNNNNNNNNNNNNNNNNNNNNNNNNNNNNNNNNNNNNNNNNNNNNNNNNNNNNNNNNNNNNNNNNNNCCAUGGGCGGAGUCCGGCUCCCGUAGGAGCCCGGGCGGAGCUUGCGGGCGAAGUCAUGGGUGAGGUCUGGCUCCCGUAGGAGUCUGGAUGAAGCUUACCUGCAAUUAGAGUCAGGGAUGAAGUCCGGCUCCCGUAGGAGUCCGAACGAAGUUUACCUGCAGCUGGAGUUGUGGGCGGAGUCCGGCUCCCGUAGGAGCCCGGGCGAAGCCUACGGGUGAAGUCGUGGGCGAGGUCCGGCUCCCGUGGGAGUCCGGACGUCGUGAAGAAUCCGAUCGACGCUGGCGGGGUCCUGUCCGUCGGCAAAACUUGGGAGUGUGGCGGAGGCUCGGCCGCCCGAGAGGUUUGAAGAGAUGUUGCCGGAGGUCGAAAGUCAGUUGGGUCCCCGGAUGGUCACUCCCAUCACGAACUUCGGCUGGGGGCUAUUUUAUACCCAACACUUUGGAUUCCACACAAAAAUUAUUUCUAUGUGUGUAAGAAUUAAGGGAUUCCAAGAGUUGGUGCCCUAUGGAAAAUAAUGUGGUGCCCCUUCAUACCUUAUAUAAGGGGUGCCCUAUAUGGCAUAAAAUUUAUCCAAAGGGUGGUUUGGAUGUGGAAUUAGAUAAGGAAGUGGUAGAAAAAAUCUGAAGCAAAAUAGAAAAGGAAAAGGGAGAGAAAUAUAGAAAGAAAGGGAAGAGAGAAAAUGGAAAGCAUGAGAUGCUUGUCCAAAAAUUAGAUUGUUCAUGUGUUGAACAUAAAAUCUGAUUUGUGUGUGGUGAGAUCUUUUAGAAAAGAAUUUCUAAAGAGGUCUGAGUUGAGUUCAUGAAAGUAUAUAAGCAGUAGUGCAACCAGUUCUUGCGAAGGACGGUCGGCAGUGAGCUUACGAAGAAGGCUGUAGUGCUAUGAUGAAUGGGGAAGGGCCCCGAUCAAUCCCAUGUGGAUCACCUUUGGAGGGCUUUUACUUUGGAGUCUCAUAAAGCUCUCAAAAUUAUUAGAUCAUGGUCUUCUCAUUGGUAUAUGACUUUUGGUCUCUUUCAGAUAUGUAUAUUUUUGAUCAUUUGAUUAUAAUCAUCAAGGGGUUCCUAGGGCUUUUGUGUUUCGAUAGACUAAUUUAAAUAUUAAAUUUUAUUUUUAAUUAUUGAUGAAAGAAGAGUAUCCUAUAAGCCAAUCACAAGUGUAUUGCGAUAGGACUUUUCUUUAUAAUUUUUUAACUCAUGUAAUAAUAUUUAUUAUUUGAGACAUUGAUUCAUCAUAUUAGCUGCAUCUUAUUAUGUCUAAGAUUAUGAUUGUUGGUGCAAAAAUCCGCUUGCACCGGAGAAGCUGGAGUCGGGGAAGUCGCGGUCGGUGCCGGGACCUGCAAGGGAAGUCUAAACCGGAGGUGGGGUUGCUCCGGCAAGACCCUCCGACGCUCAAGUCAGUUCUCUGCCUCAACAAGAAUGGAGUGCUCGAACAGAGAAUUUAACAGAGUUUUGAGAUAAGGAAAAUGAGCUUAAAGAAUAACGUAUCUGGGUCCCCCUUUUAUAGGCGGAGGAGGCAACGGACUGAUGGCGACGUUUGUAACCGCCUGGUAGUGGGCCGCCCAUGGUCAGGGGAAUUGAUUGCGAAAGGUAGUGGGGCAGACGCGUGGCCAUCACCUCGGCCCGCCACAUGGAAUCUGUUAUGAGGGGUGGAGCAGCGUCCGUUGUCAGCGGAUAGGAGAAUCGCAUGGCAUCCGUCGUAGGAGGUGGAGCAGGUUCGUGGCCGUUACUGCGGCCUGCCAGGGG